UCUAGCUAGGCUUGCACCUGCACCUGUGUCUUCCUCUGCGGUUCACAUCAGCUCGUCGUCGCCAUAGCCGGGGUCGAGAUGACCCAUGACCGAUCAAUUUCACCACCGGCGAACUCGCAGCACCUGGGCCUAUGCAUCUUCCUCAGAAAAUUAAAGAUUUGGAACAUCGACAUGCAGUUGGUUAGAUGUUCAAGGGGCAGCUUUGACCAGAACCUAGAGAAUCCAUCAAUUUUGCAGACGGUGUUUGAAGAAAUGUAAGGUGAGCCAUGGCUGGAUUUAGAGGCUGUUGUCUGGUGGACUGCACCACUGUUUCUCGCCUGCAGUGUUGAUGCAUUCCUGCUUGUGCUUCUGCUUGUGGUGACACUUUUAAGGAUACCAAAGUAGAUGAGAAUCAUGGUGAUGAUUGAUGACACUAA